CACGUAGGGGGCAAGCGUUGUCCGGAUUUAUUGGGCGUAAAGAGCUCGUAGGUGGUUCCGUAAGUCAGGUGUGAAACCUCCAGGCUCAACCUGGAGACGCCACUUGAUACUGCGGUGACUGGAGUCCGGUAGGGGAGCGUGGAAUUCCUGGUGUAGCGGUGAAAUGCGCAGAUAUCAGGAGGAACACCGAUGGCGAAGGCAGGUCUCUGGGCCACUACUGACGCUGAGAAGCGAAAGCAUGGGGAGCGAACAGG
rnacentral:rRNA from 1 species